rnacentral:rRNA from 1 species
CCCGCUGAACUUAAGCAUAUCAAUAAGCGGAGGAAAAGAAACCAACAGGGAUUGCCUCAGUAACGGCGAGUGAAGCGGCAACAGCUCAAAUUUGAAAGCUGCCAUCAGGCCGCAUUGUAAUUUGUAGAAGAUGCUUUGGGUGUCGGCCUAAUCUAAGUUCCUUGGAACAGGACGUCAUAGAGGGUGAGAAUCCCGUAUGUGAUUAGUGCCGUCUCCCGUGUAAAGCUCUUUCGACGAGUCGAGUUGUUUGGGAAUGCAGCUCAAAAUGGGUGGUAAAUUUCAUCUAAAGCUAAAUAUUGGCCAGAGACCGAUAGCGCACAAGUAGAGUGAUCGAAAGAUGAAAAGCACUUUGGAAAGAGAGUUAAACAGUACGUGAAAUUGUUGAAAGGGAAGCGCUUGCAAUCAGACUUGCGGGCGGUCGAUCAUCCGAGGUUCUCCCCGGUGCACUCGAUCGUUCUCAGGCCAGCAUCGGUUUCGGUGGUGGGAUAAAGGCUGUGGGAAUGUGGCUCUUCGGAGUGUUAUAGCCCACGGUGCAAUGCUGCCUACCGGGACCGAGGACCGCGCUUCGGCUAGGAUGCUGGCGUAAUGGUUGUAAGCGACCCGUCUUGAAACACGG